rnacentral:misc_RNA from 1 species
UAGACCUCACCUAGUCGGUUUUCCGAUUAUGGUGCUUUGGGUGUCUUUGCCAUCAUUCUCUGGUGGCUCACCUUAAAUGUCUAAGUGGAACAGCGUGAUAAGUCUUCGCUAUCCCUCCACUAUAAUCACCUUUUAU